CCUCCUGGGAAGUCCUCGUGUUGCACCCCU
rnacentral:ncRNA from 7 species